rnacentral:rRNA from 1 species
CCCUUAGAUGUUCUGGGCGGCCCGCGCACUACAAUGGCGUGUGCAGCGAGUGCCGAAGUAGAGUUUUCCGAGGUAUUCUUGCAAUGCUCGUUUUGAUGGGGAUAGACCCUUGCAACUGUUGGUUUUGAACGAGGAAUUCCUUGUAAGCAUGGUUUAUCAUCCGACGCUUAAUGCGUCCCUGCCCUUUGUACACACCGCCCGUCGCUCCUACCGAUGAGUCGUCCGGUGAAGUUCGUAGACCUCGUGAUCGCGGAUCACUGGGGGAAGCAAAAUGAACCUCGCGGUUUAGAGGAAGGAGAAGUCGUAACA